AUUGAACGCUGGCGGCAUGCCUUACACAUGCAAGUCGAACGGUAACAGGUCUUCGGAUGCUGACGAGUGGCGAACGGGUGAGUAAUACAUCGGAACGUGCCUAGUAGUGGGGGAUAACUACUCGAAAGAGUGGCUAAUACCGCAUGGGAUCUACGGAUGAAAGCAGGGGAUCGCAAGACCUUGUGCUACUAGAGCGGCCGAUGGCAGAUUAGGUAGUUGGUGGGAUAAAAGCUUACCAAGCCGACGAUCUGUAGCUGGUCUGAGAGGACGAUCAGCCACACUGGGACUGAGACACGGCCCAGACUCCUACGGGAGGCAGCAGUGGGGAAUUUUGGACAAUGGGCGAAAGCCUGAUCCAGCAAUGCCGCGUGCAGGAUGAAGGCCUUCGGGUUGUGAACUGCUUUUGUAGGGAACGAAAAGCCCCGGGUUAAUACCCUGGGGUCAUGACGGUACCGUAAGAAUAAGCACCGGCUAACUACGUGCCAGCCGCCGCAGUAA
rnacentral:rRNA from 1 species